rnacentral:pre_miRNA from 1 species
UAUAAGAGAUUUUGAGUUUUUACUUGCAACGUUUUGACCACUCGUCUUAUUCAAAAAAUUUUGAAAUUAUUAUUUAUGUUAUUUGUGACUUACUUUAUUAUCCACAGUGCUUUAAGCACAACUUUUUGUUUUUUAUAUUUGUAAAAAAAAUUGAAUAAGACGAGUGGUCAAACGUUGUAAGUAAAAACUCAAAAUCCCUUAUA